rnacentral:rRNA from 1 species
UACGGAGGGUGCAAGCGUUAUCCGGAUUUAUUGGGUUUAAAGGGUUCGCAGGCGGGCCCUUAAUUCAGUGGUGAAAUCCCUUCGCUUAACGAAGGAACUGCCAUUGAUACUGAGGUUCUUGAAUCUAGUUGACGUUAGUGGAAUGUGUCAUGUAGCGGUGAAAUGCUUAGAUAUGACACAGAACACCGAUCGCGAAGGCAGCUAACGAAGCUAGGAUUGACGCUCAGGCACGACAGCAUGGGGAGCAAACAGG